rnacentral:rRNA from 1 species
GUUAGGAAUAUUGGACAAUGGGCGCAAGCCUGAUCCAGCCAUGCCGCGUGAGUGAUGAAGGCCUCCGGGUUGUAAAGCCUUUUAGUCCACGAAUAUAAUGCCUGUAGUGGAAGAAUAAGCCCCGGCUAACUUCGUGCCAGCAGCCGCGGUAAUACGAAGGGGGCGAGCGUAAUUCGGAAUCACUGGGCGUAAAGCGUGCGUAGGCUGUUUUUUAAGUCAGAAGUGAAAGCCCAGGGCUUAACCCUGGAAUUGCUUUUAAAACUACAAGACUCGAAUUCGGGAGAGGAUAGCGGAAUUGUCAGUGUAGCAGUGAAAUGCGUAGAUAUUGACAGGAACACCAGUGGCGCAAGCGGCUAUCUGGACCGAUAUUGACGCUGAGGCACGAAAGCGUGGGGAGCAAACAGGAUUAGAAACCCUGGUAGUCC